rnacentral:rRNA from 1 species
UGCCAGCAGCCGCGGUAACACGGGGGGCGCAAGCGUUAUUCGGAAUUAUUGGGCGUAAAGGGUGCGUAGGCGGGCUAUUAAGUCUGAUGUGAAAGCCCACGGCUUAACCGUGGAGAGUCAUUGGAUACUGAUAGUCUUGAAUCACAGAGGGGUCAGUGGAAUUCCAGGUGUAGCGGUGAAAUGCGUAGAUAUCUGGAGGAACAUCGGUGGCGAAGGCGACUGGCUGGCUGUUGAUUGACGCUGAGGCACGAAAGCGUGGGUAGCAAACAGGAUUAGAUA